AGAUACACACGUGUGUCUGUUGUGUUUCUGCUGCAGAUCUUUGACCAGAGCUCAACAGCUGAUGCUCCUCCACACACUCCUCCACAUCCAGGCGGAUUCACAGCUCCAGUAAAGAAUCUACCAAGCCAGGUCAGAGGUGUGUAGCAGCAGCUGCCAGUCUGGAUGUAGACUACACCAGUAUUAACCAGUUUCAGAUAAGACGGCUGAGAGUACGAGAAACAGCCUUGAGGAUGAAACAGGUCGUUCUCUGUAGAGCUGCUCGAUAUUGGAAAUAUGUCACAUUGUGAUAUUUAGAUUUCUGUGAUUUAUAUUGUGAUAUGAGAACAAUUUCACCAGAUGACUUGAACGGCUCUAUGUGUACAGAAUUGAUCAUUUUAGAUUGAUUAGGAUGAUUCUGUAGAGGAGAGCAUCUGAAUAAAUAUAAUAAACAAUCUACAAGCUUAGAUAAAUGCAGCGAAGAGGAAGAUAGAGAUGAAAUAAACAAUGUUUUACUGUUUCCUGAAGAGUCUAACAGUACUCAGGUACAGCAACUGAAUAAUCAAAUGUAAAAUAACACUGCACCCAGCUAGCAAAAUUCAUGUGGCUGAAAUACGGCCCACACCAGACACUUACAUUCGGCCUACAUACCGCAUGGAAUGAUGGCAAUUUGGCGGUCCGCUCCUGUUUUCCAGAUAUGGGCCACAAUUAAGCUAUGGUCAUACCACAUGGCAGCUACAAUUCAACCAAAUGAACUAGAAGUGACCCUAUUCUGGGCCACAGUUUGCUUUUAUUCAUGCAUUGCAGUAUGAAUACAUUAUAUAGCUUAUUAAUGCUCCAGUUUUCAUUAUUUGCUUUUGAUUCUGCUGUUUAUGUUGACGUUGUUGAUUUUGUCACUUUUAGGAUCCUGUCUGUCAGUUUUGUUCAUUUUUUGUCGCCGUUGUUAAGGUUCAUACGCUGAUUAUUGAUGUCUCUGUGAGCAGAAGUUGAACCAUACAAUUUUAUUUAGCUUAUAAACCUUCAUAAUUCUGUGGCAUGUGCAAGCAUGUUAUUAUCUUACUUCUAAUAAUGGAUUAAACAUUGGUUAACAUCAGUGAAUAAUAUUAUUUCAUCACAGGUUGUGCCUCCUUUAAUUUAAUAGUUUUUUUUCUUGGCUUAUUUGCUGUAAUGAACAAACGUUUCAAGAAAAGAUCUUAAAAGUUACAGCAGCCCAAAAGAAAACAUUUUAUUAAGAGGUUCAGGCCUGUGAGCCCAACUAAAGCAAACACUUUUCUCCAGAUGCAGAUACAAACUCACAUCUGCAGACCUGUUUGGAAACUGUCUUUGCUUUAACCGAUCAGGAUCUUUAUACCUUUGUUGAUGCCAUUUGUGGCCCUCUGUCAGAGUAUAAUUGCUGUGUGUUUGUUAUUGUAAGGCAGCGAGAUCGGCCAGCCAACUCUAUGUGAGUGUCACAGAACGGCAAACUGUCUUCAGUAAACUCUCUUAAUCUUAUUGAAUCUCCGGCAAACAAACAAAUAGACUAUGAAUGUAACAUAAAAGAAUUCCCAAAAGCUGAUGACUACAGACUUGACAUCAAAUAUUGAUAAAUGAAGUGUAAAACAUGAAUAUUGUACUGUAAAGUGUGUGACUUUCUCACCAUGAUGUUCUUCACUCCAGAUUGUCAUUUAGCCUGUGUGUAAUUAAUGCGCCUCCCAGCAAUAAACAUACAUUUAAUUUA